AUUAAUUGACUUAAUAAGAUCAUACCUUCAUGGAACAAACAAGAUAAAGAUUGCGUUUCACGUGAUGCGCAUGCUGCAUUAUUUAUCCUUGUUAUUCUGGUUAUUCAUUGAAUGUUAAACAAGGAUAAAUGAUGAAAGGGAACGCAGCCAAAGAUUACAAACAUUAAAGAAAUGUAUAAGCCGAUGGUGUAGAUUUAUGACAGUAUUAUUCAAAGGAAAGACAAAGCCAAGAAAAUAUAUCAAGGUUCUGCACCUAGAAAGAAGAGACCAUGGGAAUUAUAUGAGCAAAUGUCAUUUAUAAACAAGCACAUAUACAAAAGAAAAUGAGAAGAUAUAUCAACAUCAACAGAACUGUAAAUGAACCCUCACAGUUAAAUAUAAGUCAGUGAGAAA